rnacentral:rRNA from 1 species
UACGGAGGGUGCGAGCGUUGUCCGGAAUCACUGGGCGUAAAGGGCGCGUAGGUGGCGCGACAAGUCAACGGUGAAAGCCCGGGGCUCAACCCCGGGUCGGCCGUCGAUACUGUUGGGCUUGAGCACUGUAGAGGCAGAUGGAAUUCCGGGUGUAGCGGUGGAAUGCGUAGAUAUCAGGAGGAACACCGGUGGCGAAGGCGGGUCUCUGGGCAGUAACUGACGCUGAGGAGCGAAAGCGUGGGGAGCGAACAGG